rnacentral:lncRNA from 1 species
CCUUUGAGUUUCAGUCCUACUGUGCUGGGGAGGUUCUGACACAACCUUCAGUGAGCACCUCCCCCCAGCCCCAGGGAGCAGAAGUACCUACUUUCAGCCCUAAUAAUACCUGAAUGAGAUUUAUAGGACACCUUCCUCCCCAGAGUGCAAAGCUCCUUCUCACAUGUUAUUUCUCUUGUCUUUAGAUUGUCCUGUGAAGUGUGAUGGGACAGCCUCUUUUCAGCUUCUCCGAAAAUGGAGACAGAGAGGAAAACUGCGGGUCUUGCCAAGGGCACGGGAUCAGAAUCCAGAGCCACGCCACUCCAGGACACUGGAGAUGGUCACAUCAAGCAGAAGUCGAAGCUGCGGGAGCCGCUGUCCUGAGGCUGCAGCGGGCAGGGGCCAGGAUGGAGGAGGCGGCCCUGGGCAAAGGGGCAAGCUCCACCCCUACCCGUGCCCACCUAGGACUUGGCAAAGGACCUGGGGACACGCGCCCUGACCGUCCAUCCUGCCGGGAGGGGCCUCUGCCUUUGGCCAGCGGGCCCCCGUUUCUGCCCUUGUCACACCACGUGCCUGUUUCAGGUCUGCGGUACUCUGACCAGGCCUCCAGCAGACAGAAGCUCUUUGCUCUCCGUACGUCCGCCCCAGAGGACCGAGGGCAGCAGUCUGCGAGGUGGCCAAAGCAAGGGGCUCCAGCCUUCUAGGAGUUAACGACUCCCUCUCCCCAGCUGUCCUCCCCUUGGUGCUCCUCUUCCUCCCUCCUGCCGCUCACAGCAGGCAGGGCCUGGACCUGGGAGCCAGUGCCGCUGUGCUGUUGCCAGGGGAGCUGGGAGGCGGACCUGAGCUAUGCAGGGAAAAGGCCCGGCCUGUCAAAGUGUCUGAGAUGAACCGCCGCCGUCCCCGUGCAGCUGGGCUCAGACGUGUCUCAGCUCUUGUUCUGUGCCUGAGAAUGGCGAAGCCCAGUGAGGUUCAAGGGCACACUCACUAUUCAUUAGUCAGGGGUUCUUGACGUCCCGUCUCUCCCAGGGAUGAGAUCCCCCCCCCCUUCCUCUUUCUCUCCCUCUUGCGACACAUUCCUGGGUGCCUUUGGCAAGGACUGCACCCUCCUCUUCCUCCUGCCCAACCCCCUC